UGCGUAGGUGGCGUCGUAAGUCGGGUGUGAAAUCUCGGGGCUUAACUCCGAAACUGCAUUCGAUACUGCGGUGCUUGAGGACUGGAGAGGAGACUGGAAUUUACGGUGUAGCAGUGAAAUGCGUAGAGAUCGUAAGGAGGACCAGUGGCGAAGGCGGGUCUCUGGACAGUUCCUGACACUGAGGCACGAAGGCCAGGGGAGCAAACG
rnacentral:rRNA from 1 species